rnacentral:tRNA from 1 species
GCCCAUGGUGGCCGAGACGUUUAGGCAUCGAGCUUUUAACUCGACUACAGUUACUUACACUCCUGGACA